rnacentral:rRNA from 1 species
AACGAACGCUGGCGGCAUGCCUAACACAUGCAAGUCGAACGAGACCUUCGGGUCUAGUGGCGCACGGGUGCGUAACGCGUGGGAAUCUGCCCUUAGGUUCGGAAUAACUUCGGGAAACUGAAGCUAAUACCGGAUGAUGAUGUAAGUCCAAAGAUUUAUCGCCUAAGGAUGAGCCCGCGUUGGAUUAGCUAGUUGGUGAGGUAAAAGGCUCACCAAGGCGACGAUCCAUAGCUGGUCUGAGAGGAUGAUCAGCCACACUGGGACUGAGACACGGCCCAGACUCCUACGGGAGGCAGCAGUGGGGAAUAUUGGGACAAUGGGCGAAAGCCUGAUCCAGCAAUGCCGCGUGAGUGAUGAAGGCCUUAGGGUUGUAAAGCUCUUUACCCGGGAUGAUAAUGACAGUACCGGGAGAAU